CAAUUUUUAAUUUUUGACAGACGAUACAAUAGAUGACUAGUAGCGGAAAUAAAAACAACAACACAAUAACAAACUAAAGACAGCAAAUAAAGGCUCGGACUGAUUAACAACGCAGCACAACCGGUUAAAACAAAGCAAUAGCGAGACGAGGUAAGACCUUACAACCCUGAAACUAGAUGAGAAGACCGGCCGGUUGCCACGAGCACUGAGAGAAGGGCGCCCUCAAACCCUGAAUGCAACAGUUACCUACAGCUUCUAGCCGAUAACCCAGAGCAAAGCAGAGCGCAGAAUCCAACCACGGACACAGAGCAAGCAAGAUAAAAGAGACCACCGGCGGUACGAGGAAAAGCCGAAGACCAACAGUGCCGUCGUUCCGAGGUUUACGCCGGAGAUUACCGCCUCCAUUGCAUUUCUCGGGGACCGUAUACACUCAUUUAACCACAACCCGAAUUUUUUUUUUUUUUUGGUAAAAUGUUAAAAUAUUAUUACCAAUUUUUAAUUUUUGACAGACGAUACAAUAGAUGACUAGUAGCGGAAAUAAAAACAACAACACAAUAACAAACUAAAGACAGCAAAUAAAGGCUCGGACUGAUUAACAACGCAGCACAACCGGUUAAAACAAAGCAAUAGCGAGACGAGGUAAGACCUUACAACCCUGAAACUAGAUGAGAAGACCGGCCGGUUGCCACGAGCACUGAGAGAAGGGCGCCCUCAAACCCUGAAUGCAACAGUUACCUACAGCUUCUAGCCGAUAACCCAGAGCAAAGCAGAGCGCAGAAUCCAACCACGGACACAGAGCAAGCAAGAUAAAAGAGACCACCGGCGGUACGAGGAAAAGCCGAAGACCAACAGUGCCGUCGUUCCGAGGUUUACGCCGGAGAUUACCGCCUCCAUUGCAUUUCUCGGGGACAGUAUACACUCAUUUAACCACAACCCGAAGAGAAUAUGGGUCGGUAGACGGACAGCUCCUCCGGAGGCAACUAAACCGAAGCCACGCUCGAGCCCCCGCUGACUUACUAUCACACCAGCAAAAACACAGUCGAGCCAGAAGUUGUUGCCAAGCCACGAACACGAACCUGCUGAGAUUAUUUGAGAAAAGCUAGCAACGGAGAAGGCCACAAACGUCAUCACCACUGAGUUCUGAGCGAUGAAGAAGCACACGGGAGCUAAACCACGAAGCACACCAUGUGAAACCACACACUACGCGACGCCACAGGGAAACCGGACGGACGUCUCCAUCCUCGACGAAACCCACGCGCAGCCACCACCUGAGAACACGACGGUGGCUCACAGAUUCAGAAGAGAGAUCUGGAGUUACCAAGAACCAGUGCCUCAACACCACUCGAGUUUCCAAGUUCCGGCAAACCCUAGACCCCCAACUCCACACGCAGCUGAAGCCACCACCAGGAGCCACCCCGGAGGUAAAUCGAGCCAACGAGGAGCUUAACGACACAACACGCGCCACCAACUCGGCGGGACAAGACUGGAUCUGGGAAAAAAAUUGGCGAGCUCCGAUUCAGACGAGGGAAUCACAAAGGUGGAAGAAACCGUCCUCUAGAGACUUCCGCCGUUGUUAACCCUAGAUCUAUAGUCGGAGCGACCAGAUCUGAGACACAGUCAAGCACCACCCUCAAAGCCGCAGAACAACGAAGGAGACAGACGAGAGAGAGAUAGAGAUGGACAUAGACGGGAGAGAGAUGGAGGCCGGCCACCGCACGAGGCGGCGGCCGCCGGACUAAGCUGACGGAGAGGAGCUCGGGAGUAGAGAGAAGGUGGAGAGUUUGUUUUGAGAGAGAGAGUGCGUUUUCACACGCCAGAAAGGUGUUUUCACCUCUUUGCCGGGAACCCAAGCAAUGUAAAUAGUCCCUCCCAGCACGAAUCGAACCCGGGUGGCGGAAGUUACAGCCGCAACCCCUUUACCACCAGAGCUGACUCGUUCUGGUAAAAAGGAAAUUAAGUACAGAUUACAUUUGACAAUGUUGCUCUUAACAUACAUAUCAUUGCCUUCCACUAAUAAUUGUUUUUUUGUGAAGAUGAUGACUGCAUAUUCUCGAAC
rnacentral:lncRNA from 1 species